ACCGUGGAGCAUCUCCGUAUUCUUUCACUCUCAAAACUUCUCUAUCUAUGUGAUUCAUUUUUCAAGAUGACUUCUCUAUCAAGGAAAAACAAAUUUAUUUAUAUUGUGAGAAAAUGUGUGGAAUCUCAAGAUUCAAUACCUGAAAAGUUUUUUUAUGAUUUUAGUGUUACUAAGUGAUAUUUUACAACAAAUUUAUCUGUCAUGGAAACAUUCCAGAACAAUUUUAUAUUAAUUGAUGAUGGAAUAAGUGAGAGAACUUUCUAUCUGAAACCAGAAACAAGUUUUGUUCGAAGCAACUGCAAGAAUUUAUCACUUUUUAAAAAAAUGAGUAACCGUUUUGAACAAUCACAACAUGAACUCUUAUCUCAAUGUCGCUAAGUUUUUCUACAGCAAGACCAUGAUCAUUAUGCAGAGUUGCACCCUGCGCCGCACCCCCAGACUAGUAUCCCAUAAGCCAGAUGGAAAGGACCGAUGACACGAUAAUUCUUUUCCUCCUGUAUGACGGACCGUCAGUAUUGAGCAGUAGGGAACGGAGCCCAAAGGCAACCUUUCUGACUUUUUCGCAAACUGUCAUCGCUGGGUCAUCUCCAGAUCCUUUCUUGUUUUGAAUGAGAUAUUGUACACGAAAGAAAAAAUGGGGGAGGAUUUUGAGUGGAUUUUAGAUACAUACCCCUCAAAUAAAAGUGGAUCCGAUCAGGUUCUCCCCGUCUUGAUUUUUGACUUUUCUCAACCCUAUAUUCGUAUGCUACAUUGGCUGAGGUUUUAUUAAGCAGGAUGGAACAGCUGCGAAAGGAAUUAAAAAGCUUGAAUAAUCAAAAACGAGGGGGCAUCAGAAAAGGUGGAAAGGGGAAAUUGAGGUGGUUAGAGCGACUGCGAAGAAAAGGAAACCGUAGGUAUGUGUCUAAGAAAGUGACACAAGAAAUAAAAAUUCAUAAUAAAACCACUUCUGUUAAAUCGGAAGGCGUAUGAUUUAACUUUAGACCCAUCAAAACAGAUAUUUACAGGCAAUGAUCCCCAAAAUGACUUCCAAGUGAUGGUUUACUUAUUUAAAAUUUCAGAUCCCUGAGAAAUAAUCUUGCUACCCAUUUCCGAAUGGGAGGCUUUCAAAAAAAAACUUACCACCAUUGCUACUUCCUUUGAUGAAAAGAAAACACCUCAAAAACUUAUAGAAUUGAAGAAUAUGCAAAUAAUUUUUAAAACUCAUUAUGGGAGCCCUAGUCUUAAACUUUUUGAUAAGAAAACGAAAUCACAACUAAUUCUUCUAAAAUCUACUUUUGACAAUUUGAAAAAAAAUGUCUUUUUUCUUACAACCUUGGUAAUUAAAGAAUGUUCUGUAUCGAAUAAUAAGUUUCAAGAAAUGGAGAACUGGGGAAUGGAUCAUGAUGUUAAGGAGGGACUGAACACUAUUUUACUUAGUGAACUUAUGAUUUUUGAAGAAAAAAGAGGCAACUUCACCUUCUCUAUCCUCGUUUGAUGGCUCAGAUUAAAAAACACUAACUCUGUUUCAUUCAUUGUUCUCAUUUAUACUCAAUGCUUUUGUACAUAUACAUUUUGAGUUUAACUGUUUUCUCUUAUUUGCUCUUAUGUAUCUUUCCCUUAAUCUAUAUUGUAUCACAUUGUAUGUUAGAACCUGUAACAAUUUACUGUAAAUAUCCAGACAAGUAACAUAUAAAAAUGAAUAUUUACGAGA